UAUGUACUCUACUGUAAGUCGCUCUGGAUAAGAGUGUCUGCUGAAUGACUAAAA
rfam:Salmo salar isolate Sally breed double haploid chromosome ssa19, whole genome shotgun sequence.